CCCACCUCCAGAGACCUGCAGGAGCUGUUGUUGGACGACCCUGCGUCCUAUGACCCGGCCAACUGGGUCAUUUGGGCAAAAGGAUCGCAGAUCGAGGAGACGUUGGAUUCUGACCCAGCGAUGGCUGUAGGAAAUGACAGGAUCAGCGGCCUGGAUCUCGAAGCGACCAUUGGCACAACGGACGAUGGUGAUAACGACUUUAUGGGAGUUGUUUUCAGUUUUCAGAGUUACUCCGGGUUCUAUGUGGUGACGUGGAAGCAGGAGGGUGAAUCCUACAGUUCAGGCGGCUACAG